AUGCAGCCAAUUAAGUUAACCAUGCUCUCUACCUUGUGAGACCCGGUGUGCAAUGGCCGCAGACAGCAAGCAGCCUCCUCAGUAGUGUAUGCAGCCUGCGGCUUGUAUGGACUAUACUAAUAAGGGAACUUGGAGACAAUC